UACGUAGGGUGCAAGCGUUAUCCGGAAUUAUUGGGCGUAAAGAGCUCGUAGGCGGUUUGUCGCGUCUGCUGUGAAAACUGGAGGCUCAACCUCCAGCCUGCAGUGGGUACGGGCAGACUAGAGUGCGGUAGGGGAGAUUGGAAUUCCUGGUGUAGCGGUGGAAUGCGCAGAUAUCAGGAGGAACACCGAUGGCGAAGGCGGCGACCUGGAUAGAUACUGACGCUGAGGUGCGAAAGCGUGGGGAGCAAACAGG
rnacentral:rRNA from 1 species